rnacentral:misc_RNA from 1 species
CUGAAAUGUUCUUCUGAAAACGGUUG